rnacentral:rRNA from 1 species
UACGAACUGUGCGAACGUUAUUCGGAAUCACUGGGCUUACAGGGUGCGUAGGCGGCCGAACAAGUCAGGUGUGAAAGCCCUCGGCUCAACCGAGAAACUGCGCUUGAAACUGUUUGGCUCGAGUCAACUAGAGGUGCACGGAACUUCCAGUGGAGCGGUGAAAUGUGUUGAUAUUGGAAGGAACACCGGAGGCGAAAGCGGUGCACUGGGGUUGGUCUGACGCUGAGGCACGAAAGCCAGGGGAGCGAACGGG